UACGUAGGGGGCAAGCGUUGUCCGGAUUUAUUGGGCGUAAAGAGCGUGUAGGCGGCCAUGCAGGUCAGCUGUGAAAACUCGAGGCUCAACCUCGAGACGUCGGUUGAAACCGCUUGGCUAGAGUCCGGAAGAGGAGAGUGGAAUUCCCGGUGUAGCGGUGAAAUGCGCAGAUAUCGGGAAGAACACCCGUGGCGAAGGCGGCUCUCUGGGACGGUACUGACGCUGAGACGCGAAAGCGUGGGGAACGAACAGG
rnacentral:rRNA from 1 species